rnacentral:rRNA from 1 species
GACGAACGCUGGCGGCGUGCUUAACACAUGCAAGUCGAACGGAAAGGCCCUGCUUUUGUGGGGUGCUCGAGUGGCGAACGGGUGAGUAACACGUGAGUAACCUGCCCUUGACUUUGGGAUAACUUCAGGAAACUGGGGCUAAUACCGGAUAGGAGCUCCUGCUGCAUGGUGGGGGUUGGAAAGUUUCGGCGGUUGGGGAUGGACUCGCGGCUUAUCAGCUUGUUGGUGGGGUAGUGGCUUACCAAGGCUUUGACGGGUAGCCGGCCUGGGAGGGUGACCGGCCACCAUGGGACUGAGAUACGGCCCAGACUCCUACGGGGGGCAGCAGGGGGGAAUAUUGCACAAUGGGCGGGAGCCUGAUGCAACAACGCCGCGUGCGGGAUGACGGCCUUCGGGUUGUAAACCGCUUUCGCCUGUGACGAAGCGGGAGUGACGGUAAUGGGUAAAGAAGCACCGGCUAACUACGUG